UCCCUCCACGGCACGGUGGAGGAGUUCUGAAGUCCUAAAGUUGGGGCAGGACCUGGAGCGUGGUCGGAGAAGGGACGUGAGACCCGCCGGGAAGCAGCAGCAGGAGAAUGUCAAUUCAAGGAAGCUGCGCUUGACCAAGGACUAGAUGAGAUACCUUGUUAUAUGUUUCCAGAGCAUGACCAGUGAAUAAAUGAAUCCACCUGAGGCAGUGGCUGCCUCUCUAGAUUAUGAAUCAACACAGUCCCUAAGGGCUCAACAGGUCGUGGAAUUCAGGGAAGAAUCAGAAAAGUUCUAGAAGAGGACUGAAGGAGGACUACAGACCCGAUGAUGCACAUGGAAAUGGGCGUAAAUCUGCACCACUUGCUCUGGGACAUGCGCAUGUGUAAACGCACAAUAAUCUCUUAAGAAUUAAAGAAAUCUUGGAACAAAGAAAAGGACUGAAGAAAAACCUUAAGGAAAAGGGAAGGAAUGUGUGUGUAGUCUCUCUACUUAAGGAAAAGUUAGAGGGUGGGAAGAAGAUCUUCCUUCAACAAUUUAGAUCAACAUUUGUUAGGUAUACGUGGUUUGCCAGGAAACCACAUGUGUGUUGUGGACCGUAUGUGUUGAGGAUGCAAAAAGACUUAGUCCCAGCUAUUAAGGAGUUCACAGUUUGGCAGCAAAUUAUUACAGAAUGUGGUGGCUGUUCUAACAGACAUAUAAAGAAAGUGCUAUGGAAGCACAGAGGAAGAAGAGGUUAAUAGUGUCUAAGAACCUAGAAGGGAUGAAGAUGAAAAUUGAGAUUUGAAAGGUGAGAAAGUCAUUAAGACAAGGAUGACUUAAAGGUAUUCCAAACUCCUAAGAGAUACAGGGAGUUUUGGUGGAUGCAGAAUGAUUGAGGAAGGCUGUGAAAGUCUUCUCUUACAAAAAUCUCUUUCUGUAAUGGUUGCUUGUUUAUGGGACGAGAAACGGGGGGGUUAUUUGCUUGCUUAAAGCCUCUGGCUUUUCCUGAUGCAACUUCCAGGCCAGUCUACCUUCUCUUCUCAAAUCCCCCAGCUUUUGCUUCAAGUUUACUUCCAGCCUGGCAAGGAGUGAGUCUUCUGAGCACAACCGCUCCGUGUCUAAGCAGGGCUGAAACACCCUCCUUCCCCAUCUCUCCCACACAUACUCCUUCCAUACCCACCAAGAAGAAAGGCAGCCAGGAAGAGUGGACAGGUCCAGAACCACAGAGGGUGAUGAACAGACAUAGAAGUAUCAAUCCUGAGGCUAAAUAGUAAUUGGGCAAAGUUUUGGUGAGACACUCCCAUUGUCUCUGAUAAGGAAUGUUUUCUCUUGAAAGGCUUAAAAUUGGUGGAAAGCGGUGGCUCACGCCUAUAAUCCCAGCACUUUGGGAGGCUGAGGCAGGUGGAUGGACUGAGCUCAAGAGUUCAAGAUCAGCGUAGUCAACAUGGUGAAACCCUGUUUCUACAAAAAAAUUAAAACAAUUAGCCAGGUGUGGUGGCAUGUGCCUGUAGUCCCAGCUACUUGGGAGGCUGAGGAAGGAGGAUAUUGUGAGCCCUGGAGGUGGAGGUGAUUGCAGUGAGCCGAGAUUGUGUCACUGAAUCCAGCCUGGGCAACAGAGCCAGACCCUGUCUCAAAAAAAAAAAAA